GGCCUACGGGGGGCAGCAGUCGGGAAUAUUGCGCAAUGGAGGAAACUCUGACGCAGUGACGCCGCGUAUGGGAAGAAGGUUUUCGGAUUGUAAACCAUUGUCGUUAGGGAAGAAGAAGUGACAGUACCUAAGGAGGAAGCCCCGGCUAACUACGUGCCAGCAGCCGCGGUAAUACGUAGGGGGCGAGCGUUAUCCGGAUUUACUGGGUGUAAAGGGGGCGCAGACGGCCAUGGCAAGCCCGGUGUGAAAGGUGCGGGCACAACCCGCAGACUGCACUGGUAACUGCCUGGCUGGAGUGCCGGAGG
rnacentral:rRNA from 1 species